AUUAUAUAAAGUUAUUAUAAAAAAUAAAUUUUAUUUACAAUAAAAAAAUGUAUAAUUUU
rnacentral:tRNA from 1 species